rnacentral:tRNA from 1 species
GGGCGAAUAGCUCAGCUGGUAGAGCGCCACGUUCACAUCGUGGAUGCCGGGGGUUCGAGUCCCUCUUCGCCCACCA